UUGACCUCAAAUCGGGUGAGACUACCCGCUGAACUUAAGCAUAUCAAUAAGCGGAGGAAAAGAAACUAACAAGGAUUCCCCUAGUAACUGCGAGUGAAGCGGGAAAA
rnacentral:rRNA from 2 species